GGAGUGUGGGAAGAGCUUCUCCCACAGGUCUACCUUGACCUCACACCAACAGACCCACCAGUAAGAGAAACCCUACCAGUGCCUCAACUGCGGGAAGAGCUUCAGCUGCUGCUUCCACCCUGAAUGAACCCCCUGAUGGUGAGGCAACCCCUGGAAUCUCUCCCUGAGUGUUGAUCUGGGGGAGUUCCAUCCAUCUCUAAUUAAGAAUUAUUGCUUUGAGCCAGCUUUAGUAGAAUUUUUUCAACAAUUUCUUUAGGGUAGAACGCUGUCUUAUCUUAUGCUGUACUCCUGGUAGUUUUAGUGUUUGUAUUGUGCAGUAAAUAAUUCUGAUGAAGAUCUUUUGUUUGAUCAUUUGGAACCCUAAAUAAAUUGCUUUUUAUCAA